AGUGAACGCUGGCGGUAGGCCUAACACAUGCAAGUCGAACGGCCGCACAGUAAGAGCUUGCUCUUACGGGUGGCGAGUGGCGGCCCGGUGAGGAAUACAUCGGAAUCUACUUUUUCGUGGGGGAUAACGUAGGGAAACUUACGCUAAUACCGCAUACGACCUACGGGUGAAAGCAGGGGAUCUUCGGACCUUGCGCGAUUCAAUGAGCCGAUGUCGGAUUAGCUAGUUGGCGGGGUAAAGGCCCACCAAGGCGACGAUCCGUAGCUGGUCUGAGAGGAUGAUCAGCCACACUGCAACUGAGACACGCUCCAGACUCCUACGGGAGGCGGAAGUGGGGAAUAUUGGACAAUGGGCGCAAGCCUGUUCCAUCCCCACCGCGUGAGUGAAGAAGGCCUCCGCGUUGUAAAGCCCUUUUGUUGGGAAAGAAAAGCAGCAGGUCAAUACCCCGCUGUUCUGACGGUACCCAAAGAAUAAGCACCGGCUAGCUUCGUG
rnacentral:rRNA from 1 species